rnacentral:piRNA from 1 species
UAGAUGUUAAAGAAGUCCAGAACCAGAACC